rnacentral:rRNA from 1 species
GACGAACGCUGGCGGCGUGCUUAACACAUGCGAGUCGAACGGAAAGGCCCUGCUUUUGUGGGGUGCUCGAGUGGCGAACGGGUGAGUAACACGUGAGUAACCUGCCCUUGACUUUGGGAUAACUUCAGGAAACUGGGGCUAAUACCGGAUAGGAGCUCCUGCUGCAUGGUGGGGGUUGGAAAGUUUCGGCGGUUGGGGAUGGACUCGCGGCUUAUCAGCUUGUUGGUGGGGUAGUGGCUUACCAAGGCUUUGACGGGUAGCCGGCCUGAGAGGGUGACCGGCCACAUUGGGACUGAGAUACGGCCCAGACUCCUACGGGAGGCAGCAGUGGGGAAUAUUGCACAAUGGGCGGAAGCCUGAUGCAGCGACGCCGCGUGGGGGAUGACGGCCUUCGGGUUGUAAACCCCUUUCGGCAGGGACGAAGCUUUUGUGACGGUACCUGCAUAAGAAGCACCGGCUAACUACGUG